rnacentral:lncRNA from 1 species
UUGCUUUCUAAACAAGUCUUUUCUGAAGUUAGUGAACUUGUUAGGUACCAGUUUGAGUCCUAAAGGUUCAAACCUGGGUAUGCCUCCACAUUCCCAAUGUUUACUCCAGUGUACCAGGCAUUAACUAAAAGCCUUUGAUGUGGAGAUAACUUAAAAAUGAAAGUCAGUCCCCAACGAGUGGGAAGUCCAGAAGGAUGUUGGUAUAAGUGAGCCGUCUGCAUUUUAUAUCUGUCAGCAUGCAAGGUUGGCCCAGUCUCUGCAUUGUCAUUUUGGUGGUUUUUCAAAUUCUGGCCUGUAUGACCACUCCAAAGCUCUCAGUACCAAGAAGAGGCUACACUUGUGUCACUGCCUCCCUCCAGCUGUCUUAUGUGUAUUGUGUUUCUCUGAAGGGCACAGAGUCAUGCAACAACAGUCCCCAGUACUCCGAAUUGACUUUGAUUCCUAAGGAUGACACUCCGUAAGUGGAGUGACAUGGGCAAAUGACUUGUCAGAGGUGUAUGGAUGGCUUGUGCACAGCCUCCAGAGUCUGACUCGAUUGAGAUAGCUGAGAAGCUCCCAUCACCGUCAUCAUGGGGCAGCACUGAGCUGGUGCUAGAAACUGAUUCAGUCCGACUGCACACAUCUUGGUCCAGGAAAAUAGACCCCAAAGCUGAUGGUGACAGCAUUGUGGACCUAGGUAGGAAUCCUGUGAGGAAGAAUUCAGCCUGCCUGUACAGCUGAGGGGGCUUCCAAGGUGACCUGUGACCUGCCAAGGUGAAGAGGAAGGGCUCCCAAGCAUCAGGAAUGGCGUAAGAGAUGGGUGAGGACUUGGGUGCAGGGCCAGGGGGUAAGGCUGGGCUGAGACUGGUCCAAUGUUCCUGACACCCAGGAAAGGGAUCCUUCCAAGGUACCCAGUGGAUUUGAUGGAAUUAGGGGUUAGGUAACAUGCACUACACAAGGAAGAAAUAAGCCCAGAGAAGAUAACUGGCCCAAGGUCCCACAGCACACCUACAUAGGGGCUAGACCCUGUGGCUUCUGACUAGGCUAACUUUGUCUUCCAUACAGCCUUGAAGUCCCUGUUGCACUGUGAAGGACUUAAGACAGGAUUUUCUGAUUCUUGGGGUGGUUAGAUGUAGGGAAGAUAGUAGCUUUCAGGGUCCUGGCUUGAUCUUGGGUAAAGAUGCAACAGAGGGGCCUGGAGCCAUCUGAAGUGAUCACCUCCAGACUGAAACAGCCCCAGUGAGGGAGCAGGAUGUCAUCCCGUAGUGUACCCCACAAGGUGUUUUGUUUGUACAAGCUUUUGUUUGGGCACACUUGCUGUUGUUUUGUCCCCAUGCUAGAGGAGUUCCCAGAUGAAAGCAGGCACAUGACAGAGGUGAAACUUGAGGGAGGAAACAAUUGAUGACUUUUGAGGACAGGCUUGUGACAAAAAGCCUUACAA